rnacentral:rRNA from 1 species
AUUGAACGCUGGCGGCAUGCCUUACACAUGCAAGUCGAACGGUAACGGGCCUUCGGGUGCCGACGAGUGGCGAACGGGUGAGUAAUGUAUCGGAACGUACCUUUCAGUGGGGGAUAACGUAGCGAAAGUUACGCUAAUACCGCAUAUUCUGUGAGCAGGAAAGCAGGGGAUCGCAAGACCUUGCGCUGAUUGAGCGGCCGAUAUCAGAUUAGCUAGUUGGUGAGGUAAAGGCUCACCAAGGCGACGAUCUGUAGCGGGUCUGAGGGGAUGAUACGCCACACUGGAACUGAGACACGGUCCAGACUCCUACGGGAGGCAGCAGUGGGGAAUUUUGGACAAUGGGGGCAACCCUGAUCCAGCCAUGCCGCGUGAGUGAAGAAGGCCUUCGGGUUGUAAAGCUCUUUCGGCCGGGAAGAAAUCGUAUCAGCUAAUACCCGGUGCGGAUGACGGUACCGGCAUAAGAAGCACCGGCUAACUACGUGCCAGCAGCCGCAGUAAUAC